ensembl:lincRNA
CUCCCCAAACACUUGUCUGUGCCCCACAGCAGCCUCUGCUGAAGUUUCCUCUUUUUGCAGAUAUAUGAAGAAAAUAAAGACAUCACGUCUUUUCCAUCAAGAUCUGAUUUAAGGGUGAGCCUCUAUUCUAAGAUACCAUUUCUCUACCUUCUCAGUUAAAAAUGUUCUUUUUUUCUUUUCUUUUCUUUUUCUUUUUUUUUUUGUAGACAGAGUCUUGCUCUGUUGCCCAGGCUGGAGUGCAGUGGCGUGAUCCAGGCACACUGAAGCUUCUGCCCCCUGGGUUCAAGCAAUUCUCCAGCCUCAGCUUCCCGAGUAGCUGAAAUUACAGGUGCACACCACCAGGCCCAGCUAAUUUUUGUAUUUUUAGUAGAGACGGGAUUUCGUCAUGUUGUUCAGGAGAGCUCAAACGAUCCGCCCCCCUUGGCCCCCCAAAGUGUUGGGAUUACAGGCGUGAGCCCACCUUGCGCGGCCCAAAUGUUCUUUUAUGAGAUAAUUGUGACAGUGAAUGAAUGAGCCUAGGGGUGCUCAAGCUUUUUCUGUAAAGGCCCAAAGUAAAUAUUUUCAGUUUUACGGGACCCGAAGUAUCUGUUGCAGCUACUCAGCACUGUUGUAGCGCCAAUAGUAGCCACAGACAAUAUAUACAACAAGCGACAGGCUGUGUGCUGGUAAACCCUAAUUUACAAGAGGUUUUGGGCCGACUGUGGCCGUUGGGCCAUCGUUUGUCCGCUGUUGAUCUAAUAGAUGGUAGUGGUGGAUAUAUAUUUUUAAGUGUUCUUUACUGGCAAAACCCAAAAUUUAGCAAUGGUGGAAGUUACUAGUCCCUGUGGUAGAUAUUACGAGUGCUGAUGAAGAUUUCCUGUCCCCUUGAAGUUAGGCAAGGUCAGGUGACUUGCUCUGGGCUAUGAGAUAUGAGUAGAAACAACACGUCACCUCCAGGCUGAAGCAUUUCCAGGCUGGUGUGCACUGCAAACAACAACAACAUCCACCAUGGCCCACACUGUCUGCCAUCACGGCUGUCUCUACCAGAGGUGUGCAUCACAGUGUCACAAUGCCUGUUCUUUCACAGAGAUGAUGGUGCUGGAGAGAUGGUUCAUUUUGACUGAGGCCCGUCUGGUGGUUCGUUGCUGUGAUGUAUUUCGGCAUCGUCGACGCAGGUUCACCAGCCUCAUCUCGACCUUGGAAAUGUUGCGGUAUUUUACAGUAUGUGGUGACAUUUAUGGGCCCAUUUGGACACCCACAAAGAGGUUGAUUUCCAUAGAUUAAAUGUCAAGUUUGAAGCCAUCCAGGGUAAUUGAAUCCUUGAAUGUUGUCCACUUCGAUUCUCAGCUGGGGCUGUUGACUGGACAUUUGUGCUCUGUUACAAACUCAUGAGUGCAGCCCAAAUUGCUUAAUGCCAAAAGGUCAUUCUGUGAGUCCAGGGGGAGGGUGUCGGUAGGGAGGACCAUGGCAUUGGAGUUUGAUACCUGCAGAAAUGUUGCCUUGUUUUUAUUUCUUUAAAUGCAAGCACAUAUGUGGUUAGUUGGUGAAUACAUUACUGGGGACAGAAGAAAAAAAACC